GCUUUGCUGGCUUUCUGCCUUGCCUCAGCUUCUCUCUCCCUGCCCUCGGAGCAUGCAGGUGCUCUGAAGUAGCUUGUGGGCUCAGGGAAGGGGAGAGACACAUACACAAACCCAUGUGCUGACAAGAAAUGGGGGGUGGGGGAUGACAGAUGUAUCUGUUCUGUGCCCUGGUCGAUGAUUCAUGAUGGGGUGCAGAGCAGAUGAAGGGAGGCCAAGGCAGCAUGGGCGCUCUCCUUCGUGAAGAGGGGGAGAGCUUCAGGGAGUUUCCUGAAGCCGCCUCACGCUUCCUCCACCUCGUGGGCAGGCAGAAAACACUCGACCGGGCACCUGCUCUGGAGCCAGUCUGGGAAGGCUGGGAAACCCCGCGGCCUCCCUAAGGCGCCCGGAGGGAGACGGCCCAGAUGAUAAGGAAUGUGUGUGUCCGCUGGAGCCUGGCCCCUCUGGGUCUGGGGGUGUGGAGGGCCCAGGAGUGAGGAGAGGGAUGGGGCGAGGCUCGCGCUUGGGGCCAGGAGAAAGGUGUAGCAGUUCCCAGGUAGGGUUCUAGCACUGCGAAAGCCCCAGCAGUCCCUAGUCCCGCGCGCAUACGCGCAUGCGCGCGGCCAGCCUGACGCGUACCCAGAUCCUCAGCAGCACGGCUAGGCACGCCAGCGCAUGCGCAUGAGCCGCGGCACUACGGCCUACAAAGGCUCAGAAGGCCGGAGAACCCGGCCCCACCGGGCCUGGCACGGCGGCAUUUCCUACCUGCUGCCGCCCGGCCCCGGCUGCAAGUCAGGAAGAUGAUAAAGCCGACAAGCAGAGCCGCCGCCACCAAGUAAACCACGGGCGCCACCAUGACGACGACCUCCCCGCGGAACCACCGCGUCCACCCUGAGGCCAUGUGAGAAACAGAGGUAGCCUCAUCUGGCCUGGGAUGUGAAGAGAAGCUACUCCCCAUCCUGAAUGAUCUAUUUCUUGGCUUUGGAAAGUCACCUAUGGAAUUGUAGAUAUCAGUUGUGAUUUUACACUACAAAGUACCUACUACAUGCCAGGCACUGGGAUUUAAAGAUGAGAUGGUACACAAAAACAGACGAAGUUUUUACUAUUGUGAUUUCUAGAGGGAAAAAAUUGAAUAAUAAAAUAAACGCAUAUAUAUCUGCA